rnacentral:rRNA from 1 species
CAAUAGCGUAUAUUAACGUUGUUGCAGUUAAAAAGCUCGUAGUUGAAUUUUUGCUUGCCGCCGAUGUCGGAACUUCCGUACGUUCGGCGGCGUGCAUCCUUGGGUGGAACCUGUGUGGCAUUAGGUUGUCGUGCAGGGGAUGCUCAUCGUUUACUGUGAAAAAAUUAGAGUGUUCAAAGCAGGCUUACGCCGUUGAAUAUAUUAGCAUGGAAUAAUAAGAUAGGACCUUGGUACUAUUUUGUUGGUUUGCGCACCGAGGUAAUGAUUAACAGGGACAGUUGGGGGUAUUCGUAUUCCAUUGUCAGAGGUGAAAUUCUUGGAUUUCUGGAAGACGAACUACUGCGAAAGCAUUUACCAAGGAUGUUUUCAUUA